rnacentral:rRNA from 1 species
CCUACGGGAGGCAGCAGUGGGGGAUAUUUGCACAAUGGGGGAAACCCUGAUGCAGCGACGCCGCGUGGAGGAAGAAGGUUUUCGGAUUGUAAACUCCUGUCGUUAGGGACGAUAAUGACGGUACCUAACAAGAAAGCACCGGCUAACUACGUGCCAGCAG